UUUUCCGGUUGAUCCUGCCGGACCCGACUGCCAUUUGGGUGAGGAUAAGCCAUGCGAGUUGAAUGGGAUACCUAAAGUUCCCAUGGCAAACUGCUCAGUAACACAUGAUCAACUUGCCCUAUAGAGAAAACUAACCUCGGGAAACUGAGGAUAAUGUUUCAUAACUGAAUUGGCUUGGAAAAGUUUUUCAGUAAAAGGGAUAAAAAAAAUGGUUUUUAUCUGCUAUAGGAUAGGAUCGUGCUCGAUUAUGGUUGUUGGUGAGGUAAUGGCUCACCAAGCCGAUAAUCGAUAGGGGCCGUGAGAGCGGGAGCCCCGAGAUGGGUACUGAGACAACGACCCAGGCCUUACGAGGCGCAGCAGGCGCGAAACCUCCGCAAUACACGAAAGUGUGACGGGGUUACCCAAAGUGUUCAAUUUUGAACUGUGGUAGGUGAGUAAUGUUCCCUACUAGAAAGGAGAGGGCAAGGCUGGUGCCAGCCGCCGCGGUAAAACCAGCUCUUCAAGUGGUCGGGAUAAUUAUUGGGCUUAAAGUGUCCGUAGCCGGUUUAGUAAGUUCCUGGUAAAAUCGGGUAGCUUAACUAUCUAUAUGCUAGGAAUACUGCUAUACUAGAGAGCGGGAGAGGUCUGAGGUACUACAGGGGUAGGGGUGAAAUCUUAUAAUCCUUGUAGGACCACCAGUGGCGAAGGCGUCAGACUGGAACGCGCCUGACGGUGAGGGACGAAAGCCAGGGGAGCGAACCGGAUUAGAUACCCGGGUAGUCCUGGCCGUAAACGAUGCAUACUAGGUGAUGGCACGGCCAUGAGCCGUGUCAGUGCCGUAGGGAAACCGUUAAUGUGCCGCCUGGGAAGUACGGUCGCAAGGCUAAAACUUAAAGGAAUUGGGCGGGGGAGCACCAACAAAAGGGAACCGCU
rnacentral:rRNA from 1 species